CUGGCGCGUGCCUAAUACAUGCAAGUCGAGCGGAAUGAUGAAGAAGCUUGCUUCUUCUGAUUUUAGCGGCGACGGGUGAGUAACACGUGGGCAACUACCUUGUAGAUUGGGAUAACUCCGGGAAACCGGGGCUAAUACCGAAUAAUCCAUUUUGCUUCAUGGUGAGAUGUUGAAAGACGGUUUCGGCUGUCACUAUAAGAUGGGCCCGCGGCGCAUUAGCUAGUUGGUAGGGUAAUGGCCUACCAAGGCGACGAUGCGUAGCCGACCUGAGAGGGUGAUCGGCCACACUGGGACUGAGACACGGCCCAGACUCCUACGGGAGGCAGCAGUAGGGAAUCUUCCACAAUGGACGAAAGUCUGAUGGAGCAACGCCGCGUGAGUGAAGAAGGUUUUCGGAUCGUAAAACUCUGUUGUAAGGGAAGAACACGUACGAGAGUAACUGCUCGUACCUUGACGGUACCUUAUUAGAAAGCCACGGCUAACUACGUG
rnacentral:rRNA from 1 species